rnacentral:rRNA from 1 species
CCUACGGGAGGCAGCAGUGAGGAAUAUUGGUCAAUGGACGAGAGUCUGAACCAGCCAAGUCGCGUGAAGGAUGACUGCCCUAUGGUUUGUAAACUUCUUUUAUAUGGGAAUAAAAUGUUCCACGUGUGGCAUUUUGUAUGUACCAUAUGAAUAAGCAUCGGCUAACUCCGUGCCAGCAGCCGCGGUAAUACGGAGGAUCCGAGCGUUAUCCGGAUUUAUUGGGUUUAAAGGGUGCGUAGGUGGAUUGUUAAGUCAGUUGUGAAAGUUUGCGGCUCAACCGUAAAAUUGCAGUUGAAACUGGCAGUCUUGAGUAUAGUAGAGGUAGGCGGAAUUCGUGGUGUAGCGGUGAAAUGCUUAGAUAUCACGAAGAACUCCGAUUGCGAAGGCAGCUCACUGGACUACAACUGACACUGAGGCACGAAAGUGUGGGUAUCAAACAGGAUUAGAUACCCCUGUAGUC